CUUCGUCUGGACAUUGUCAGCUGGAACACACUCCUUGCAACACGGUACUCAAUCAAGAUGCACGGAACAGUGAUGGUAGUGGUGGUGGUGUUGGCAGCCCUGGCCGCCGCCCGACCUGAAGAAGGAGGCGACGCAAAGCCUAACCAACGGUUCUUCCUUCCCAACCUAGUAGGCGCAGCCCAAGGCGCCGUCCAGGGCUUCUUGAAUCCUUACGGCGGCCAUCACGGUGGUGGCUUUGGAGGCAACUUCGGGUUUGGCAAAGGGGGCUACAACGGCUUUUAUCCAGGCUACGGUGGCUAUCCUGGAGGCUUCGGCGCAGGCUACGGCUUCAACAAUUACUACGGGUAGAGGCACCCUUCAGCCUCCAUGGAGUCCCUCUAGCGUAUUAUUAUUUAUUAAUAAUACAGUAAUAAGACUUUUUAUCCUGUAACAUUUGGCAGAUUAUUUCCAAUGUAUGUGGCCUUAAUUUAUGAAAUAAAUAUAAAAUUUUACUA